rnacentral:rRNA from 2 species
AUUGAACGCUGGCGGCAUGCCUAACACAUGCAAGUCGAACGGGGGUAGCGAUACCCUAGUGGCGGACGGGUGAGGAAUGCGUAGGAAUCUACCCACGAGAGGGGGACAACCUGGGGAAACUCAGGCUAAUACCGCAUACGCUCGUAAGAGGAAAGCGGGGGAUCUUCGGACCUCGCGCUGGUGGAAGAGCCUACGUCCGAUUAGCUGGUUGGUGAGGUAAAGGCUCACCAAGGCGACGAUCGGUAGCGGGUCUGAGAGGACGGCCCGCCACACUGGGACUGAGACACGGCCCAGACUCCUACGGGAGGCAGCAGUGGGGAAUAUUGGACAAUGGGCGCAAGCCUGAUCCAGCAAUGCCGCGUGGGUGAAGACGGCCUGCGGGUUGUAAAGCCCUUUAGGCGGGGAGGAACGACGGGACGCGAAUACCGUUUCGAAGUGACGUUACCCGCAGAAUAAGCACCGGCUAACUCCGUG